UACCCGCAGCACAAGUGGUGGUCAUUAUUAUUGGGCCUAAAGCGUCCGUAGCUGGCCUGUUAGAUGCCUGGGUAAAUCGAUGCGCUUAACGUAUCGAAUUCCGGGUAGACCGGCAGGCUCGAGACCGGGAGAGGCGUGAGCUACUCAAGGGGUAGGGGUAAAAUCCUGUAAUCCUUUGGGGAGGACCAGUGGCGAAGGCGUCACGCUAGAACGGCUCUGACAGUGAGGGACGAAGCCCUGGGGCGCAAACCGG
rnacentral:rRNA from 1 species